rnacentral:rRNA from 1 species
AUGAACGCUAGCGACAGGCUUAACACAUGCAAGUCGAGGGGCAGCACAGGUAGCAAUACCGGGUGGCGACCGGCGCACGGGUGAGUAACGCGUAUGCAACUUACCUAUCAGAGGGGGAUAACCCGGCGAAAGUCGGACUAAUACCGCAUGAAGCAGGGGCCCCGCAUGGGGAUAUUUGCUAAAGAUUCAUCGCUGAUAGAUAGGCAUGCGUUCCAUUAGGCAGUUGGCGGGGUAACGGCCCACCAAACCGACGAUGGAUAGGGGUUCUGAGAGGAAGGUCCCCCACAUUGGUACUGAGACACGGACCAAACUCCUACGGGAGGCAGCAGUGAGGAAUAUUGGUCAAUGGCCGAGAGGCUGAACCAGCCAAGUCGCGUGAGGGAUGAAGGUUCUAUGGAUCGUAAACCUCUUUUAUAAGGGAAUAAAGUGCGGGACGUGUCCCGUUUUGUAUGUACCUUAUAAAUAAGGAUCGGCUAACUCCGUGCCAGCAGCCGCGGUAAUACGGAGGAUCCGAGCGUUAUCCGGAUUUAUUGGGUUUAAAGGGUGCGUAGGCGGCCUUUUAAGUCAGCGGUGAAAGUCUGUGGCUCAACCAUAGAAUUGCCGUUGAAACUGGGGGGCUUGAGUAUGUUUGAGGCAGGCGGAAUGCGUGGUGUAGCGGUGAAAUGCAUAGAUAUCACGCAGAACCCCGAUUGCGAAGGCAGCCUGCCAAGCCAUGACUGACGCUGAUGCACGAAAGCGUGGGGAUCAAACAGGAUUAGAUACCCUGGUAGUCCACGCAGUAAACGAUGAUCACUAGCUGUUUGCGAUACACUGUAAGCGGCACAGCGAAAGCGUUAAGUGAUCCACCUGGGGAGUACGCCGGCAACGGUGAAACUCAAAGGAAUUGACGGGGGCCCGCACAAGCGGAGGAACAUGUGGUUUAAUUCGAUGAUACGCGAGGAACCUUACCCGGGUUUGAACGCAUUCGGACCGAGGUGGAAACACCUUUUCUAGCAAUAGCCGUUUGCGAGGUGCUGCAUGGUUGUCGUCAGCUCGUGCCGUGAGGUGUCGGCUUAAGUGCCAUAACGAGCGCAACCCUUGCCACUAGUUACUAACAGGUAAAGCUGAGGACUCUGGUGGGACUGCCAGCGUAAGCUGCGAGGAAGGCGGGGAUGACGUCAAAUCAGCACGGCCCUUACAUCCGGGGCGACACACGUGUUACAAUGGCGUGGACAAAGGGAGGCCACCUGGUGACAGGGAGCGAAUCCCCAAACCACGUCUCAGUUCGGAUCGGAGUCUGCAACCCGACUCCGUGAAGCUGGAUUCGCUAGUAAUCGCGCAUCAGCCAUGGCGCGGUGAAUACGUUCCCGGGCCUUGUACACACCGCCCGUCAAGCCAUGGGAGCCGGGGGUACCUGAAGUCCGUAACCGAAAGGAUCGGCCUAGGGUAAAACUGGUGACUGGGGCU